AGUGAACGCUGGCGGUAGGCCUAACACAUGCAAGUCGAACGGCAGCACAGUAAGAGCUUGCUCUUACGGGUGGCGAGUGGCGGACGGGUGAGGAAUACAUCGGAAUCUACUUUUUCGUGGGGGAUAACGUAGGGAAACUUACGCUAAUACCGCAUACGACCUACGGGUGAAAGCAGGGGAUCUUCGGACCUUGCGCGACUGAAUGAGCCGAUGUCGGAUUAGCUAGUUGGCGGGGUAAAGGCCCACCAAGGCGACGAUCCGUAGCUGGUCUGAGAGGAUGAUCAGCCACACUGGAACUGAGACACGGUCCAGACUCCUACGGGAGGAAGCAGUGGGGAAUAUUGGACAAUGGGCGCAAGCCUGAUCCAGCAAUACCGCGUGGGUGAAGAAGGCCUUCGGGUUGUAAAGCCCUUUUGUUGGGAAAGAAAAGCAGCAGGUUAAUACCCCGCUGUUCUGACGGUACCCAAAGAAUAAGCACCGGCUAACUUCGUG
rnacentral:rRNA from 1 species